GACGAACGCUGGCGGCGUGCUUAACACAUGCAAGUCGAACGGAAAGGCCCUGCUUGCAGGGUGCUCGAGUGGCGAACGGGUGAGUAACACGUGGGUGAUCUGCCCCUUACUUUGGGAUAAGCCUGGGAAACUGGGUCUAAUACUGGAUAGGACCAUGCUGUAGGUGGUGUGGUGGAAAGAUUAGUUUCGGUAAGGGAUGAGCUCGCGGCCUAUCAGCUUGUUGGUGGGGUAAUGGCCUACCAAGGCGUCGACGGGUAGCCGGCCUGAGAGGGUGGACGGCCACAUUGGGACGGAGAUACGGCCCAGACUCCUACGGGAGGCAGCAGUGGGGAAUAUUGCACAAUGGGCGCAAGCCUGAUGCAGCGACGCCGCGUGGGGGAUGACGGCCUUCGGGUUGUAAACUCCUUUCAGCCAUGACGAAGCCCUUGUGGUGACGGUAGUGGUAGAAGAAGCACCGGCUAACUACGU
rnacentral:rRNA from 1 species